rnacentral:tRNA from 1 species
GCCAAGCUAGCUCAGUGGGUAGAGUAUGAGACUCUUAAUCUUAGAAUCAUGGGUUCAUACCCCACAUUAUGUG